rnacentral:lncRNA from 1 species
ACCCUAACCCCACUUUUCUUCUAAAAUGGCCGCAAACAACAUAAUUUAGGAGUUUGGGAAGUUGCUUAAUUUCUGAUGGAUUGAAUGGGGGAAGUGAGUUGGGGUCGUAGGGUGUUGACAACAGGAGGUGGCCGGAGUAGCGAAACGCCGUCACGGCUGUGAUGUCCGGCGGCGGAGGUGAUUUCGCUGCUGUUGCAGUGGCGCCGGAGCAAGUAUGGAGAGGAAAGGUUUUUCCUGGGGGCUGUGUAAAUUGAAUAGUGUAUUGUUUUUGUGUGUAGGCAGCGAGGGAGAGAGACGGUGAGAACUGGAGAGAGGGAGAGGCGAGGAUGGAGAGAAACUAGAGAGAAGGAAGCGAUGAACGAAGGAGAAGAAAGAGAGAAGUGAGGGUGGAGGUCGCCAGAUUUUGGCCGGAAAAUGGGGUAGAGGCCGAGUUUAUUAAAUCCGUCUUGGCGGAUGUACAGAUCGGGCCUCUACGAGUCCAGCCAUGGUGGUUAUGCAAGCAUUGGGUGUCGCCGGUAUUUGACUGGACGAUGGUGGCCACCGGCGGCGGUCAUUGAAGGUGAAGCUGAGUGAGGAAGAUGGUGAAGGAAGGAGAUGAGG